GGAUAGAAAGCAUCAGUAAUUAUUAUUAAAAUCACGAAGCAUAAGAAUAACACAAAGAUACUUAUUUGGGCUGCAAUUAGAAGUCAUUUUGUCAGUAUAGGUAAGAAGUUUAUUUUUGUUUUACUUAUAAGGAUUUUUAAAUGGGUAAUUAAUAAUUAAUAAUUAUUAUAGUGUGUAUCAUUGUUCAAUGAGGAGGGCAUCAAGAGGGCUUGAAUAAUGGUGUCCAUUGUUC